rnacentral:rRNA from 1 species
AGCGAACGCUGGCGGCAGGCCUAACACAUGCAAGUCGAGCGGAGAUGAGGUGCUUGCACCUUAUCUUAGCGGCGGACGGGUGAGUAAUGCUUAGGAAUCUGCCUAUUAGUGGGGGACAACAUUCCGAAAGGAAUGCUAAUACCGCAUACGUCCUACGGGAGAAAGCAGGGGACCUUCGGGCCUUGCGCUAAUAGAUGAGCCUAAGUCGGAUUAGCUAGUUGGUGGGGUAAAGGCCUACCAAGGCGACGAUCUGUAGCGGGUCUGAGAGGAUGAUCCGCCACACUGGGACUGAGACACGGCCCAGACUCCUACGGGAGGCAGCAGUGGGGAAUAUUGGACAAUGGGCGGAAGCCUGAUCCAGCCAUGCCGCGUGUGUGAAGAAGGCCUUUUGGUUGUAAAGCACUUUAAGCGAGGAGGAGGCUACUUAGAUUAAUACUCUAGGAUAGUGGACGUUACUCGCAGAAUAAGCACCGGCUAACUCUGUGCCAGCAGCCGCCGUAACAC